AACACCAUCUUUUUUUGAAGCUUCUUUGCAGAACUCUGUUAAAACCAUACAAUAUGAACCAAAACAAGCUUCGGCAAUCAUAUUCAAAUCAACAUUAUCAUUACAAUUGCUGCUGUUCAAAAACUGAAUUUUUGCAUCCUUGGUCCAUCGCGUCAAAACCAAAUUGCUUGGAAUACGAUCAACGUGUUCUUCCUUCAUUACGUAAAAAAUAUGAGAACACGGAAUGCCACGGGACUCAAACCUCUUACAUGAACACUUAAAUGUCGAACCAUCAUAAACAACACUUCUUUCAUAACCAUCCUUACUAAAUUUUGUCAAUCUAUAAGUCUUCCUACCCCCGACUUCACUUUUAUCCCUAACUAUCAAUUCACCGGCUUUCAAUAUUUCAUGUCUAACUUCUUUGAAAAGCUUCGCCGUAUAUAUUUUACCGGCAUGACUCUCAAUCACAGGCAGUUGCGUCGACAACACAGGAUCUAUAGACGAUGGUUUAAAAUCAGCAACCAACUCGUAGCGUGAUCAAAGUUGUUCAUAAAUUCAAAAAUGCAUCCUUGCUUCCUGACAUAACUCUUAAUUAUUGCAUUAACAGCUUCGUACUGCGACGUAGUUCUUAUACGUCCAAAAAAGUUAUCUCGUAGAUAUGCAAUAGCCCACAGUGACCUAUUCUCGUACGUUUUGACUAUCCAUGGAUGUCCUUGCACUCCAUUUUCUUUAAUCAUUUGUGACCAAUACUCUUCAAAUUCAUCUAUUUUAAAAUUUGAGUACAUGGCCUUUGAAAAACCGUCCAAAAAAUUAUUUCCGUUCUUCACAUUCUCACCUGCAUUCUUAUUCAAAUGCCAAGUACAUAACCUAUGGUUAGCAUCGGGAAAUAUCUGUUUUAUGGCCUCUCUCAUUGCCCCAUCCCCAUUUGUUACCACCGCUUUUGGUUGUUUACCUUCCAUGCAUUCUAGGAAACACGUCAACACCCACUUAUACGUCUCCGUCAUUUCAUCUGACACCAAUGCAGCACCAAAAAUUACUGUUUGAGAGUGGUGGUUACACCCUGAAAAUACAACCAACAGAUAGUUGUAAGUCGUGUCAAAUGCAAGCACAUCACCAAAACAAAAAUAGUCAGUCCUACUAAUCCAAUCAGCCCAAAAAAGUCUUCAUUCUUCCAUUAAUGUUGUCUACAGCAUACUCAGCAUAAAGCAUGAGAUCACUAGACGACUUCAUAUUCAGAUAGUUUAAAAAUGU
rnacentral:lncRNA from 1 species